UCCUUUCAGAUAGAGGGAAAGUUAAAAGGGGAAUAUCCACUCUCUCCACCCACUCUCUUCUACCACAGUUAUAACUAGGGACAAUUCACAAUCGGGAUUUAUUGGAUUACGGAACCUCCAGAGGCUGUGAGCUUGACAGAUACACUCACUGGCAACAUGCUUCUGCUGUUUCUGUGUCUGGAUUUGGGAACUCCUAGUGUCCAUUCACAAGGACAAGGGGUUAAAGUAACAUGUGACAGUCCAUCGGUUUCAGAGGACCAGCAACUGGUACUGAGAUGUACAGUGGAUUACACUGCCAUACAAACUCCCAACCAAGGGACGGAGGGGACCGCAAAUGACCCAACAUGUGUUACUGAACGGUUUACAUGGAAGAAUUCAAAUAUUGUACUACGGAGUUGUGAACAAGACAACUGUAACAAGAAAACAUGUGAAGCAUCUCCACACACUAGGGAAGACACUGACAGCAACACCAUCCAACACUACUGUUAUGAGAAAAAAAGUGCUACCAAAGCUGAUGAGGGUAUUUACACUUUUUCCAUUGGCACAAACUGUGGGGAUAAUUCAGGGACAACAAGCUGGUUCAGUGAUGCAGUUACUGCGAGAAAAGAGGGAAACCAACCCACCCAACAAGCUCCCGUAUGGUUAGCCCUGGUUGUUAUCAUCAGCAUCAUCACUGUUCUGGCCGUUCUAUUGUUUCUCAUCACUUCUCAUUCUGGCAGAAGAUUGAUGGAUCGACUCAAGAGUUAUAUGACCCAGAGCAACAGGAACAACACUGAUGAGAGCCCUGAAGGUACAAGAGAGGCCCUUACCCUGGUGUCUGCAUAACAUUCAGCGUGAGCCAGUUGGCUUGUUGGUUCUUUCGAAAUUAACUCAACGUUGCCCCUGCUAUGUUGCUGUAUGUCAGAUGUAUUCUAUACCAAUAAAACACUACUCACUUUUGCACCUAAAUUAGUUUUGCACAAACAUUUAUGGAAUCAGUUUGUGAAAUCACUAAUAAUCGUCUUUCACAGAAAAAAUGGUGCUAUCUGGAACCUAACAGGGUUAUUUGGCAUCCCCAUAGGAGAACCCUUUGAAUAACUCUGGUUCCAGGUAGAACCCUUUUCAUAACCCUUCCUAAGCUUGUUUAUAAAGGGAGUUGGUUUUGGUCUAUCUAUACAUUGAUGUGUGUAAUAUUCUGUAAUAUUCUGCUCAACUCACAAGCAUUGUUUUCAUAACCACUAAGAUAAGCUUGUUUUUGGUUUUAGCCUAAACUCUGAUGUAAUAUUCUGGGAUUCAUGGAUUUUUUUAUGAAUAUAAAAUGUUAUUGAUUUGUGUACAAAUAAACUUUUGGAAAUAACCAGUCUUUAUAAUGUUAUUUCUCUCAUAUAGA